GGAUCCAGACUUUGAUUCUGGCUCAGGACGAACGCUGGCGGCGUGCCUAACACAUGCAAGUCGAGCGGAGACAGUGAGUAGCUUGCUACGAGCUGUUUUAGCGGCGGACGGGUGAGUAACGCGUGAGCAACCUUUCCCAGACAGGGGAAUAACACACCGAAAGGUGUACUAAUACCGCAUAAGACCACGGGAUCACAUGGUUCUGAGGUAAAAGAUUUAUCGGUUUGGGGUGGGCUCGCGUCCGAUUAGGUAGUUGGUGAGGUAACGGCCCACCAAGCCGACGAUCGGUAGCCGACCUGAGAGGGUGAUCGGCCACAUUGGGACUGAGACACGGCCCAAACUCCUACGGGAGGCAGCAGUGGGGAAUAUUGGGCAAUGGGGGGAACCCUGACCCAGCAACGCCGCGUGGAGGAAGAAGGUUUUCGGAUCGUAAACUCCUGUCCUUGGGGACGAGUAGAAGACGGUAUCCAAGGAGGAAGCCCCGGCUAACUACGUGCCAGCAGCCGCGGUAAUACGUAGGGGGCAAGCGUUGUCCGGAAUAAUUGGGCGUAAAGGGCGCGUAGGCGGCUCGGUAAGUCUGGAGUGAAAGUCCUGCUUUUAAGGUGGGAAUUGCUUUGGAUACUGUCGGGCUUGAGUGCAGGAGAGGUUAGUGGAAUUCCCAGUGUAGCGGUGAAAUGCGUAG
rnacentral:rRNA from 1 species